rnacentral:tRNA from 1 species
AUGUUGGUGGUAUAGUUGUUAGUAUAGCUGCUUUCUAAGCAGUCAACCCAGGUUCGAUUCCUGGCCCACACA